GAUGAACGCUAGCGGCAGGCCUAACACAUGCAAGUCGAGGGGUAACAUUGGUGCUUGCAUCAGAUGACGACCGGCGCACGGGUGCGUAACGCGUAUACAAUCUACCUUGCACGAGGGGGAUAGCCUUUAGAAAUGAAGAUUAAUACCCCAUAGUUUGUUAAAUUGGCAUCAAUUAAACAAUAAAGUUCACGGUGCAAGAUGAGUAUGCGUUCUAUUAGCUAGAUGGUGUGGUAACGGCACACCAUGGCUACGAUAGAUAGGGGCCCUGAGAGGGGGAUCCCCCACACUGGUACUGAGACACGGACCAG
rnacentral:rRNA from 1 species